rnacentral:lncRNA from 10 species
CUACCCCGGACUAUCUCUCAUUGCAUGCUGCGAUGAACUUAUGAGUGAAUGCAUCAAAAAGACCAAGUUGAACUUAUGAGCGAAUGCAUCAAAAAGACCAAGACUUGAUCCCUUGCCCACAAAGAUACAAGGCUGAGGACAAAGCCAUGAAGGAAAAGCCUCACUGAAGAAGAGGAACCUAAGAGAAGCAGGUUCUGCUCUGAUGAACUCCCAUAAAGGCAUUCCCAUAAAGGUGUGGGCCUGAGUGAUAAUCUAGAUAUGGUACAGUUGACAUCAGGUAUAUGGCGGCAGCCAGAAAUUCAACUUUGUCCAUCAGCUCUCUGCACAACAGGAAAGAUGGUGACCUUCCAGGCUUAUCUGAGGUCCAAGAGUAACAUCACAAACACAGUAACUACACCCAGCCAAAGAAAAGCAUACCUGAAUCCAAG